UACAGAGGGUGCGAGCGUUACUCGGAAUUACUGGGCGUAAAGCGCGCGUAGGCGGAUUUGCAAGUCGGGGGUGAAAUCCCGAGGCUCAACCUCGGAACUGCCUUCGAUACUGCAAAUCUCGAGUCCGGAAGAGGUGAGUGGAAUUCCUAGUGUAGAGGUGAAAUUCGUAGAUAUUAGGAAGAACACCAGUGGCGAAGGCGGCUCACUGGUCCGGUACUGACGCUGAGGCGCGAAAGCGUGGGGAGCAAACAGG
rnacentral:rRNA from 1 species